CCAGAGAACUUAGCAGAGAUGCUUUGGUGCCUUCGGGAACUCUGAGACAGGUGCUGCAUGGCUGUCGUCAGCUCGUGUUGUGAAAUGUUGGGUUAAGUCCCGCAACGAGCGCAACCCUUAUCCUUUGUUGCCAGCGGCUCGGCCGGGAACUCAAAGGAGACUGCCGGUGAUAAACCGGAGGAAGUGGGGAUGACGUCAAGUCAUCAUGGCCCUUACGGCCAGGGCUACACACGUGCUACAAUGGCGCAUACAAAGAGAAGCGACCUCGCGAGAGCAAGCGGACCUCAUAAAGUGCGUCGUAGUCCGGAUUGGAGUCUGCAACUCGACUCCAUGAAGUCGGAAUCGCUAGUAAUCGUAGAUCAGAAUGCUACGGUGAAUACGUUCCCGGGCCUUGUACACACCGCCCGUCACACCAUGGGAGUGGGUUGCAAAAGAAGUAGGUAGCUUAACCUUCGGGAGGGCGCUUACCACUUUGUGAUUCAUGACUGGGGUGAAGUCGUAACAAGGUAGGCGUAGCGAG
rnacentral:rRNA from 1 species